rnacentral:rRNA from 1 species
GGGUGCGAUCAUACCGACAUUAAUGCACCGUAUCCCAUCGAAACUUUGUAGUUAAGCACGCUUGAGCUAGAGUAGUAUUGGGAUGGGUGACCUCCUAGGAAAUUCUAGUGUUGCACCCU